UCUCAUGGAUGAGCAAAGAGCGUGGUUUCCUAAGAUGGAAUCCAUUCCUGGUGGAGAUGCUGUGAA
rnacentral:pre_miRNA from 1 species